AACCGCUUCGGUGGUGGAUUAGUGGCGAACGGGUGAGUAACACGUGGGCAAUCUGCCCUUCACUCUGGGACAAGCCCUGGAAACGGGGUCUAAUACCGGAUAAUACUCCUGCCUGCAUGGGUGGGGGUUGAAAGCUCCGGCGGUGAAGGAUGAGCCCGCGGCCUAUCAGCUUGUUGGUGGGGUAAUGGCCUACCAAGGCGACGACGGGUAGCCGGCCUGAGAGGGCGACCGGCCACACUGGGACUGAGACACGGCCCAGACUCCUACGGGAGGCAGCAGUGGGGAAUAUUGCACAAUGGGCGAAAGCCUGAUGCAGCGACGCCGCGUGAGGGAUGACGGCCUUCGGGUUGUAAACCUCUUUCAGCAGGGAAGAAGCGCAAGUGACGGUACCUGCAGAAGAAGCGCCGGCUAACUACGUGCCAGCAGCCGCGGUAAUACGUAGGGCGCAAGCGUUGUCCGGAAUUAUUGGGCGUAAAGAGCUCGUAGGCGGCUUGUCACGUCGGAUGUGAAAGCCCGGGGCUUAACCCCGGGUCUGCAUUCAAUACGGGCUAGCUAGAGUGU
rnacentral:rRNA from 1 species